ACUAAAAAUGGUGUAUGCUAAAUUGGAAUGAUUCAGAGAUUAGUAGGGCCCCUGCAAAUGGAUAACACAUAAAUUCAGGAAGCUUUCUAUACGUUU
rfam:Mesocricetus auratus contig141563, whole genome shotgun sequence.